GAGCCAAUCACUUCAUACCCAGGACACAUGGCGCGAUCUUAAAGAUGGCGGACAUGGCAAAACGAAGAUUUAUCUGAAAUAAUGAGCUUAAUGGGCAAAGAUUACAGAAGAAUCUCGGGUUUAGCGAAGCCUCUUGUGGAAUGCAAAACAGAGGCCCUUCUUUAUAGAAGAUGUGUGUCCCAGACAGACAACAUUACCAACCAUACCUGUAAUAAGGAGUUUCAAGCACUUACAGCCUGUAUAAGACAAGCAGUAA